UACGGGGGGGGCAAGCGUUGUUCGGAAUUACUGGGCGUAAAGGGCUCGUAGGCGGCCAACUAAGUCGGAUGUGAAAUCCCCAGGCUUAACCUGGGAAUUGCAUCCGAUACUGGAUGGCUUGAAUCCGGGAGAGGGAUGCGGAAUUCCAGGUGUAGCGGUGAAGUGCGUAGAUAUCUGGAGGAACACCGGUGGCGAAGGCGGCAUCCUGGACCGGCAUUGACGCUGAGGUGCGAAAGCGUGGGGAGCAAACAGG
rnacentral:rRNA from 1 species